GCUGGAGUCACAUCAGGAGAAGCGCAUCUGACGCUCUGCCCCACGGCCUCGACGCCGAGCCUCGGGGAGCGCGCCAGGGCAGGGAGCGUCUCGUUCUCACCCCCAGGCACCCCUUGGAGUCUUUAUCGCCGGGCUCAGGGACCACAGCCGGGAAAAUCCUACGGUGACAUCACGGACGGGGAGCAAGGUCACGACGCGACCGAGGCCACUCUCCAAGGGGACCAGCAGUGGCCAGCGCUGCAGACCAAGGGCCGCUCCUGCGCCUUGUGCUCGGCACAGCCAGCUCCUGAGCCACCGUCCCCCGCCUGUGGAGCCCGGGAGGCAAGGGUCAGCUUCCCUGAACGGCAGCCUCGCCCCCAUCAUGGCCGGCACAACCUAAACCGAGUAACGAUGAUGAGCCCGCGGGCAGCCCUGCCUGCAGCCCUGGCCCGCUCUCUCCCCGGCACUGUACAGAAAUAUGAGACUGGACCCAGCUCUGAAGACAGCUGGCCUGGGAUCUUUUCGAAGCUUCGGGCUGUGAACGUGGCGAGCUGCCCGGGGAGCUGGGGGCACAGGCCACACCCCAGGGUUCCGAGCGUUUUGUUCCCGCGGGUUCAAGGAGCAGCCGGACCCGUGUGCACCCAGAGCCUCGCCGGGCGCGGUCACCGCUGGAUGUGGGCACGAGAGUCACAUGAAGGACUCAACAGCCUGAAUCACACAGUGAGGACUCCGGGGUUUGAAUGAGAGUAUUCUGGACAGCGGUGAUGGACGCAACAGUGACGGGCCCUGAGUACGUGCCUCCUCCGCUGGGCGCCCACCUGUCGCCUGUCCUCACGGAGCCCUUCCGACCACCUAGAUCCUGUCUCACUGGGUGAGAGGCACCUGUGAACCUGCUGCCCAGGUCGGGGGUCAGGUGGCCACACCAGACUCUGUGUUCCCCGGAACCCCUACUCGAGGACAGCUUCAUGGGGGCAUCACCAGCGGUGACUGGAGCCCCAGGACUGCUGUGCUGGGUGCAGAGGAUUCAAGGUCCUGACUGUGCUGGUUGUGGGGGAGGUCUCUGUCACAGGCGGAGCGUUUUAGGGCUGGUCGUUCACCCUGUCUCUUCCUCGUGGGGAUCGGGGCAGGGGGGCAGGGGCGGUUGGGCCCCAAGCUGGGAACGGGGCCCCGCAGAGCGUCUGCCACCAGGCAAACGGAGCCCUUGGUGUCAGGGGGCCAGAACUCCAGGUCAGGACCCUGCCAGGCUGUGGCUGCACGGGAUGGAGCCGAGUCAUCAGGGGCCCGCAGCCCCGCGUCCGGGGUGAGGGUGGAGGGAGAGGAGCCACACGUGGAGGAGGCAGGGAUGGGGGGGGUGGAGACCCGUCGGGUGGGGAGACCUGGGGCGGGCAGAGACCUGGGGGGCGGCCGGCACAGAGAUGUGGCUGACAGCAGCAGCCUUCACUGCUUAAUGCAGCUGCCGAACACCCUUGGAGAAGAGAUGCUGCAGAAGAUGCAUCCCGAAGGAGAGGCCAGCCCCAUGGGCGAGGGGGGCUCAGGAGAUCAGAGAGCAGAGGGGCUGAAGGCUGACCUCAGGGGGUUAAUGUUGUUACGAAGGAAGGGGCUCGUUCCCUUCAACACGUGACCAACCAUUUCUCCCCCUUAUUCCGAAAGUCCUGUCUGGGGAAGGUCCCUUUUGUCAUAGUCUAGGGUCUUCCCCCAAAGCCAGACGGGAGGGAGAGGUCCACAGGCUGCCCAGUCUCCCUAA
rnacentral:lncRNA from 1 species